GUUUAAGCUAGAGGUAGAGAACACUUCUAUCUCGCAAGCCUUAUAUCCAGGAGAACGUUCAAUUGCACAAAACAAAUUAGGUUCCCACAAGAGAACAACAAACAUUUUCUCUGUAAAAGUGGAUCAAUAGACAUCAUAUAUAGUUUGAUUGAAAUGCAUGGCAUGUAUUUCUGACCCUGUCAUAUAGGAGUAAUUAUAUAUCUAACAUGGUAAAAUUGCGCUCUAGAAAAACUGCAUGUACAUGGACUUG
rnacentral:lncRNA from 1 species